CUGAUGUCUUUGCUCAUCGCUGCACAGGACCUGUGUACCUCAGCACCUUUGAGAGAUGCUGGAGAAAGGGCCUUUUAAGGAGCUGCCAAGGAAAGGAUCAAAUAGAAGAAGGAAAACCAGAAGCAGGAGCCCGAGCAGGGAAAUGACAACCACAGAGCACCUUCCUAUGACUGAGGCCACCUCCCACCAACACGGAUUCCAUGUCUCAUUCUGAAGAAGACUCUGACACAAAGGCCACAGCCAUCGAUCCUAUCCCCCAAGGAACAGCAGAGUAUCUAGGAGCACUGAGUGGAAUAGUACCCAGUUCUUACAACAAGGCUUUCAUCGUUCUCCCUGACCUUUACCCUGGAACACAAUGUGCUAUAUAGAAGCAGCAAAUUAUAAAAAUGUGUUUGGCGGCCCAGAUGUACCAGUGCUGGAUCAAAUCUCAAGGCUGCUCCAUUUCCAGUCUGGGGCUCCCAUUCCCACGCAAACGUUUUUGUAAAGUCAUCUACAAAAGCUUUUGUGACUGGUGUCCUUGAGCGAGUGUUCUCAAUGCCUCUCCUGAGCCACAUGGAGGACCUGCAUGCUCGAAAUAAAUCUUUCCUUU